AUCCUAUGCCAGAGGUACAACACCAGUCUCACCCCCAUUCCGGUGUGGAGUUCUCUGAGUUCAGUGGCACAUGGGAUAUUCCACUUCAGUGCCAUGGGAAGAAAAGGGUAAGGAAAAAGCAAAAGGAUUAAUGCAAGUAUAUAUAUAUAUGUAUAUGUAUAUAUAUAUAUAUAUAUACACACACACAUAUAUAAUGUUCUGGUAUCCAGUUGCUCCUGCUUCAGCCUUUUAUCCAAAGCCUUGAGAUGGAUCUGCCUCAUCCAGGAACUUUUCCUGCUUCGUUAGAGUAUCUUCGUUUUCUUUAUCAGAUGCUGGCACCCCACGCCAGUGCACGGCUCCAUGGAAUGCUUGCUGUUGGACACUUGCAGGGCUCUGCCACCAAACAACCUCCUGCAUUGGAAAUCGGGGGACUACUCCAGGAUCUUAUGCGUGCUUGCUGUUUGAAGCUGCAGAAAAGUGAAUAAUCAAUUAAGUAUUGAUUUCUUGUAAGAUUUGGUAAAUUUCAAAGGCAAGACAAAGAGGAUGGCUUAAGGAAACACUGCAGGGACUUGGCGUAAAUUAGACAACUCACGGAGGCGCAGAAUAAAAUAACACCUCAACUGAAGAUUUCCUUGGAAGAAUUAGCACUAGCUAUUGGAAGACAAUGGUGGAUUUAAUCAAAACAGCAGGCAUGCAAGAAUUUUACCCGUGAACCAGAAAAAGGAGCUAAUUAUAACCACCUUUUUAAUGGAGCUAAUUUGACUGAAUGGAUGCAAAUGUGCUUUAUUUAUGGAUGAAGAAGCAAGCCUUACUGCAAUGAUCUUGGGAUCAUCGUAUCUGCUAAGCUUUGCAGCUCCUGUUACCUUCAGUACAUUUUUAUUUCCGGAGAAGGUAUUUAUAUGUAAACAACAGCUAACCAUGCAAAAGAUUCAUCGGAACAAUAUACUAUGGUAUAUGAGAUAUAAUCAUAAUUUUGCAGCCUCUCAGGAUUCCCCCUAACUUGGGGUUUUGCAAGCUUUGCGUGCAAUGGGUUAUGGUAAACAAUAAAUGAAUGAUGUUAAACUAUUGUGAUUUUUCAAUGUGUAAUUUAUUAAUUUUAGCUUUCUUAACAUGUUGAUUCAGAAUUAUUUGGCAAUUAAUCCACAAUGAAAGGAAGGGAAUUGUUGGGUGGGGUUUUUUUUAAUGUAUUUGCAGUCUUCUUAGAGAUCAGAAUGUGUAGGUCCCACCAGCCCAGGAGCUCUAUAAUUAUUAAAAAAUGGUAAAAAAAAUUUGACAAUUGGAGGAAUUGGUUUCAUAAUGGGAACAAUGUGUUAUAAUCAGUAAAAAGAAUUGUUAUGUUUUUCUCUCUGGGUAGAAUGUUCUUGAGUGGUUAACUCCUCUGUUGCUGAUGAGAAGUAAAUAUCUUUUAAGUGGCAAGAAGGAGAGACUGUAAUGACAAUGCUUUGUUCCUAUGCCUCCUCACAUUUCAGGCUAAAGUACAUUUUAAACAUUUCCUUCUACUUCUAUUAUUUCCUUUCUCUUUUUUUCUUCUUUUCAUCAUUUUUUGCUGUCUUGCAAUCUACAUUCCCUGAGCAACCAUAGGAACCAAGUUACAUUAAGCUUCAACACAAAGACCUUGUAAGAAUAAUGAAUCCUCAUUUGCAUCGACAUUUGUAUUCAGAUUUGCCAGGCUAUAAACUUGGCAGAUCAAGCGGAAUAUUAAGUAGAGGCUUCCAUGGUAAAUUGUGGCUCUUGAAAUUGCUAAGUCCCCCCCCCUCCUUUUUUUCCUCUCUAUCUGUGGUGGCAGGUGAAGUCUUAUGACUACUUGCUUCUUCUGAAGCGCAUGGGCCCCCUUCAUCUUUCAGUCCAUGAUGUCAGUUUCAAGAAGAAGAGGGAAAAGCCAGUAGUAGGUAUUCUGGCUGAAGGUACAAUAUGACGUGUCACUGGAGAAUUAGCUCUAGAGGCCAGAGACCAUGAGAGAGGCGCCUUUAAGCAAUUGAAGGGUGAGGGAAAAUUAAUUAUCUUGUGUGGACUAAGGUUUGAUUUUUCCUUGUAUAUUCAAAAUACAGUAAUCUCAUAAAAGUUCACUCUCAUUUUCUAAAUAUUUUUAAAGGUUAUAGGAGGACCAACAUAGCCCUUUACUCAUGAAAUAAUUCAAUUAUGCCAUUCUGAGUCAUUGUCACUGGUCUACUCAGACACAUUCUUAAAAUACUUGAAAUGCCUAUUUUAAUGUCACCAUGGAUUGACCAACUCAAUCCUUAGCUUUGCUUGAUUCUGAAAUGAUAAAAUAGUAAUAGUCAUAUUUACUUCUGUAUAAGUUCAGAAAUAUCACCUAAAAUACAGUAUUAAAUCUACAUCUAUUACAUAGUAAUAUAUCUGCAAUACAGUAAACCAUGGGGUGAAAAAUGUAGACUUUAAUUUCCAUGUUUGGUCUAGACUAUGUGAUGCCAAACAAAUGAGUAAUUGGAAACAUUUGUGCGUGACUUAAUUUUUCAUGCAUUUAUCCCACUGUUUCAGAAUCUUGUAAACAGAGCCUAAAUCUAUGACCUAUGAACAAACUCUCACUUCUUGCCAUUGUAUUUUCUCUCAAGAACCUUUCACUAUUAGGGAGCAAUAAAAUGUGUUAGAAGAUCAGUCUUGCCCCAAAUGUACAAUGGAUGUCUCAAUAAUGGCUUUCCUUUUUAAAUCUAUGUUCUAUUUAAAUAGUGUAAAUGCUGAAAUGUAGCCUGGAUCUAUUAUUAAAAAAACACUUCUCUCAUAGAUCAUAAGGAAUUGUGAAAUCUUAGUAACUAGUUUAAGCAACUGACUUAAAUAGUUCUUACUUUAUGUUGAGGUAAGAUUUAAUCGUGUGUGGAGAAAUGGGAGCUGUUUCAUGCAUGAUACUGGACUUUUUUUUUUUUGGAAAAAUGUACUGAUAAAUAUUUAGACUGAAGGGUAGCAUUUCAUAAGCUUUUAUAAACCUGUAAAAAUAUUUAUAAAGAGUCUUGCCUGAAACACAUAUAUUAGAAUGAUUUAUAUUAAUACCUCACAGUAUAGUAUAUCCUAAAACAGCUAUAAGAUAUCUUAGUAGUAACUGGGUUUAGAAUCUGAAAAAUAAAAUGCAAAUCAUGACAUAUUUGCUUUCUACAAACUCACCAUUUUUAAGGAAAAUAAACUAUUAGAUUAUCUGAUGCUAAUAAAAACUG
rnacentral:lncRNA from 1 species